AUUUUAAUAUUAUUAUAACUAAAAAUUAUUAAAUCUAAUUUUAAAUUAUUUUUUUUUUAAUAAUAACUGUAACAACGAUACCAAACAGAUAUUUAAAAUGAUCAUUCAAAAUUUGGACAAUAGGUCUAAAGGGACAGAGCAGUGAAUAAUAUAUUCAUGGAAUUGAAUGAGUUAGAUGUCUUGAUCUCUAUAUUAAAGCCCAAUCUUUUGAUAACUGAGUUGGGCUUCUGGUUUUUUGCUUAUCCACCAGAUCAGAGUUAUCUCCAUUAAAACCCUAAACCUAAGCUUCAAUAAUCGGGUAAACGAAAAAGGCCUGCGCCAGCCAUGAACAGAGCUAUUCUCAGAAAUCUUUCACUUCAAAUUCGCAACCAUCUUCUCGAUCCUCUAAAAUCCGUAACAAAUACUAUCACAUCAUCAUUUGUAGUUGUUUCCUGGACUCUUCGUACACAAAUAUUCCACUCUUGUGAGUCGGACUCAUCCCAUGAAGCAAAAUUUGCUCGAGCCCAGAAGCGACAUGGUGAAGUUGAGGAUGAGGGCUAAAGAAGAGGAUAGAGAAAUACUACGAGGGUGAUGAAGAGGCGAUUCCAGAAAUAUUUGAAGCUAUAUUGAAGAGGAAAUUGGCAGGGAUUAGAGAUAAGGAUGACGAAUUGAUGGCAGAAGUUAGGCGGAAAUCUCCAAGUGAGAAUUUUGAUUCUGAUUCCAAUGAAUUGAAUGAUUCUGAUGGCGAUAAAAAUUGAUGCAAAAUUGCAAUUAUAGAAAUCAAGGUAUGUAUUGUUAUUGGCUAAAAUAAUUUUGAGUUCUAUAAAUAAUUAUAAAUGUCAUAAAUCUUGCUUCUUCCGGUCACUUCCUCAGGAAAUUUGCCUGUUCCAAUGAAAUUUUGAAAUGUGCUUCAUCUUGUAAUUUUCUUCACCAGGCAAUUUCCUAGGCAAGGUCUCCAUGCAAAGAAGUAAAGUACAACUCUUGAAUUAUAGAAAUGUUCCAUAAACCUUGAGGUAGAAAUCUCAAAUUAAGACAAUUAUAAAAUUGAAGACGCCUUGGGAAAGCCCCUUUUACAAUCUCUGUCCUUUCUACUAUAUCAUCUGAAGCAAAUUUUCUAGCUCGAGAAAUCCACUUGCGCCUUGGAGGCUUUUCAAAGUUCAACAUGUUUUAAUUUGUGAAAGAAUUGAAGAAAAGAUUGGUUCUCCAAGAGAUUAGAAAGACAUAGUACUAGAAUAGUUAGGUUUUCAUGGAGGGAAGCCAGUUAGGCAAUUCUACUAGACCACCAUGUAAAAUAAGCUGUUGAAGAUGAGGUGGAAGAGAAAAAGGUUCAAAUUUAGGCAGAAGUGCGCCUUUGCUGACUUGCUCUGCAGAUAAGCAAGGGACGAUUAGCCGCGGGUACACAAUCAUCUGGCCCUGGUAUUGAAGAAAGGACCGUUAGCUUCUUCUUGUAAAUAUCUCCUUCUCUGCCUUUUUCCCUUAACCAGCUUGCUCAAUCCCGUCCCUCCCCUUAUGCUUGUCUUUAAGCGCUGGUGAAAAGAAAGACUAAGCGUUGGUAAAGAAGCACGAGUCGAAGGGUGAAUCCCUUAAACUUAAUAGAAUAUCCCUGUUCGAGUUCGUAUUCAAGCUAAGUAGAUUAGCCGAGUGAGAGAAGAGCGAGGAUUACUUGAGUUGUUAGCUAUGAGUAAGAAGUUGAUGAGUUUCUUCCUCUGUCAAUUCACAAGGGAUGUUCAGUAGGUGAAUUCCUUUACUUUAAGUGGAGCAGGAUAGUAAGAAGGCACAUGCUUUACGACUUAAAUUUUCGUUUAAGUUUUAAAAAAAAAUAAUAAAAAAAAAAUUAUAUGGGAAAUGCAAUUAGAAAGCAGACAAAUAUAAAUACAACAUUUUAGACUUUUGAUGGAGGCAUGUAACAGGGUAAUAUAAUGCUGAAAAAGACCAAAGUUUUAUGGCAAAUGUUCAAUUUAGCCUUAUAUUUAUCGGGAAAGUUUAAUUUAAUUUAUUUUUAAUUUUUUUGUUUAAAUUAGCUCAAAGUUUUAGUUUAAUGUCAAUUUAAUCUAAAAAUAAAAAUUUAUAGGUUAAAUUUCUUUAUUUUUUGAUUUAAAUAAAAACUCAAGAAAUUAAAAUUUUUAAUUUGGAGAGUAAUUUUUUUUUUGAUUUCUUAAUUUAAAUCUAAAAAUUAAGAAGCUUAAUUUCAUAAUUUUCUUUAUUUUUGAACUAA
rnacentral:misc_RNA from 1 species